UGGACGAUACAAGAUAACAUUAAGCUCAAGUUUACAGUUCAACGCGGCGGUGUUUUACGACGAUGAAAUUGAAGACAUUCGCGUCCCUCAUCGCAUCCGCAGGCGACGUCGACGAGUGUACCUUGCAUACGGGACAACGUCGGAGCGUCCCUGAACCACUUCGGUAGUCGGAGCUGACACAGACGAAGGGGCUACCAAAACUGAAGACUGAUCACUAAGACUACGUAUAAUGAACUACUAAGCCAGAAACACCGUCGAAAGUCAAACUUGACCGUAAGUCACCAAAGUAGGAGAAACCACGUCGGACCUCAAUCAUCACACGUGUAGACUUAGAGAACUGAAAAAGGACUUCGUAUAAUGCACCAAAUACCACGGACGAUUGAACGUACGCUAAAAAUACCUUAGACUAGAGCAAAAAACGAGGGUCAUAUAUGUUUUCCGAUCUUCAUUUACUACCUUCUAGGAAACCAGAGUUUGCUCCCAGGAUGAAAGUAUGGGUUUCAAACAUAUCAUCUAUUAGUUUAUAACCGGAAAUCGAACGUUUACAUAGUGGAAUAUCUUCAUUUCCAACGUAGAUGUACUCGAGACUAAUAGAGGUAUAUAUGAACUUAACGAAACCCCAGUGCGAACCUAAACAGUCUGAUGGUAAGAUGUACGACAAGAGCUACUAAUGUGAACUAAACAAUUAAAUACAUGGAAUACAGUUUUUUGUAAUAGGUUUUAAUCAAAAACCAUAUGCGUCUGAAACUUUAAACAACUAUCUCUUUCUAGUGCGGAUUAAACGACCGAGACAACUGUGUCAUGACCGGAGGACUGAAACAUCAACCUAUUACAACUACUGAGCCAUACGCCUCUCUCCAAUCCUUAACAACGAUACCUGAUUUUGUUACGUCUCAACUUCCAAGACUUGACCCUUGAACUUGUUUGUCAAACGGAUGGAAAGAACAGCUUAACUAAAAAAAUCUUCACUUACAAGAAGACCAACCACGAAGAAGUCACCCUAGACCUGGUACCUUAAAAGUUAACGUAGACGAACCAAGUGACCCUUAAAGGAUCAAAAUUAAACUAACUGUUGAUCGUUUUGUCAGGCCGAUUAAACUACUAAUUAAGGAUGACUAACAUGUUAAAGUUGAGUUCAAGGACGACUAAGAUGUGAAAAGUUGGGUUCAAUGUAACAUGGUAUACGGUCAAACAAAGUAUGGAGCAGGUAGGACCUAAAAAUCUGCGUUUCGUAGACCUAAAAUUUUGUUCUUUAUUGUACAGAAAUUGUUUUAAUAAGUGAGUUUCUGGUACGGGUUCUAACCUAGAGAGUAGAAAUGUCAUUUAAACCUGUCGUCCCUAGAGAGUAGAAAUGUCAUUUAAACCUAUCGUCCCUACAAGUCAUCUUUGCGAUAUUAUCGUACCUCCGUAACAAAGACUUGAGCUCGUGUGUACACGAGAAAUAGACCCGCCAAGCAGUAUCGCAACCCUACGCCACGUAAAUGAAAGACACAGUCCGACAACAAGUGACCUUUUCCCCCUUUACGUCUUUAUGCCGGCUGCCCAUAGAACAUACCACCCGGUCCAAACACCACCUCCUCGUGGAGGAAAUUGCUAAGUUUUGUCCCGACACCGAGUACGGCAGUAAGGGCAGGACUAGGCACCGAGCAAAUCCCGGAGUCAUCGGCUCAUUUACCUCCCUACCCAACGACCCGUCUCAAGAGAGGAUGGAGGCCGAGGACCAAAAAGGAUAAUAGCUCACUCCGAUCUACCCGCCGCCUCGAAGAUAAGCUUCCUUUGUUUCCGAUCGCGUCUUCUACCUUAAAGACUACGUUAGCUAAUUUUCUUGGUGGCACGAGCUCCUGCAAUUGCUACCGUUGCAUGAGUACCUCGGUGAUGUGACGGUCACCAGCGUUGGCAACGUCUAGGCGACGGCGGGUACCGCCGUCACUCACGCCUUCCGGUCUAGACACGCCGACUACCGCACCAGCUAUGACUUUAGCUACCAAAUGACGUUCGUAGGCUCGUCAGCUAAUGAGCUAAACAAUCUAGCUGGGUUUUCGGGGUCCUACCUGAGCUUCACUCCUAGCCACGACGGCGUGGUCCUUCCAGUGGAACAGGAUUAGCGUGAUCACGUGACCUCUUCCGUUAAGUACCAAAACGCCUUUUAGGUCCUCUACUACACUAACAGGGACGUGAUCCUUGUUCGAAACUAACAAACUCACUUCGGAAGCUGAUAACGGUAACCUGAAACUAAGAAAACCCACUUCGUAUGCUGAAAAUGUUCGAAGCUAAGAAACUGUUUAGAUAUAAAAUCAUUAGGAGGAACAAAGGACUUUGACUACAUAUCACCAUACCUUUACCUAAAGAUUUCACUGUCAUUUAAUCUGUUGAUAAAAUGCUACACAUCGGUUUUCGGUUUUCCUAUUAACGUGAUAAUAAUCUUGGUUUAUACUAAAGUCAGACCUCUUUUAGACGGAAAAGAAGAAGGAAACACUGAAGGUUUAGUUUUAGUUUUCGGU
rnacentral:rRNA from 1 species